UAGAGUUAGGGUACUAUGGUUAAGCUGCGGUUGGACUUGAUGAUCUUCAAGGUCUUUUCCAACCUGGGUAAUUCUAUGAUUCUAUGAGUAUUUAAAAGGCUUGGAAGCCACUGCAGCUGGCAACACUUUACCUCUAAUUUACUCAGUGUCCAGUAUAUGAUUGCUCUUCUUCAUAAACAUCUAUUGUGCUGUGCAAAUGUGAGGCCUGUAUGUAUAAAGAUGAAGCCUCUUUGCAUUAAGGAGAUGCUGCAGGCACAUAUGGGUAAAGAACAUUACAUUUCAGGCUGCAGGUUAAGUGAGAUGGAAAACACACGGUUAACACGCAGCCAAACGGGACUAAUUGUCCAAGCCUGAUGCUCCCUCUAGGGGAAGGAAAGAAGCUGACACCUAAAAAAGAAGGAAUUUUCCCUCCAGCUGUUCUCAUUUAUGGACCCCUCCUUUCCAACAGAGGUGCAGACUCCCACAUGACACACUCUGGACUGCAGGAUAGUUGUACCACUCUGAUGCUGAGCACAGGUGAAGAACCAAGCAGGGUCUCCUCCUCAAGCCUUACCUGUGUGCCCCUUAAAUGUCGUCACCAGGCUGCAGGACUCUUGCUCUAAUUUGAGUAUGGUUACUUGCCCAGAAUGAUCGCCAACAAACACGUGCCGGGUUUCCACAUCAAAUCUGAUGGAUAAAUGCUGAGGAACAUACAUUGUUUACACAAGCUAUGCAUUACUUUCAGUGACUUGUUCAUUCUUUUAACAUGAGUGUGCUACAACCUUGUGAAUAGUGCUCCAGUCCCAAGAAGGUAAACAGAGCAUAUUUUUAGGUAUUAAACUCAUAGUUGUUCAUACCAAUAAUGCAGUCUCCCUGAGAUAAAGCAAAGUUACACAACCUUGCAAUAAGCUCUUUCCCCGUAUUGUUUAAAACAACUGUUUUCAACCUCUUCAUUACAUUUAGGUACACGAAUGCAAGUCCCCUCUUUUCUCAGAACACCAGCC